AUUGAACGCUAGCGGGAUGCCUUACACAUGCAAGUCGAACGAGUGGCGGACGGGUGAGUAAUAUAUCGAAACGUGCCCAGGAGCGGGGUAUAACUACUACAAAGAAUGGCUAAUAGCGUACACUAAUGGGGCGGCCGAUAUCGGAUUAGCGAGUUGGGGGGGUAAAGGCUCACCAAGGCCACGAUCCGUAGCUGGUUUGAGGGGACGACCAGCCACAAUGGGACUGAGACACGGCCCAGACUCCUACGGGAGGCAGCAGUGGGGAAUUUUGGACAAUGGGGGAAACCCUGAUCCAGCCAUCCCGCGUGUAUGAGAAGGCCUUCGGGUUGUAAAGUACUUUUGGCAGAGAAGCGGUAUCUGCAGAAUAAGCACCGGCUAACUACGUGCCAGCAGCCGCGGUAAUUC
rnacentral:rRNA from 1 species